rnacentral:lncRNA from 1 species
UCCAUCACAGGAGGUGGAGCAGGGUCGUGGGGUGAUGGAGCCACAUAGAAUCUGCCGCAGGGAAUGGAGCAGAAUCGCGGCCGUUUCUGCAAUGCGCCAGGGGUGGGUGGUCCGCCGGCUGAAGUCCGGCUGGAGUGUCUGGCGGAGAGAGGUAGUUAGUCAUCUGACCAAGAGGAGCUCGAAAUCCAUCUUUCACAGG